CUCUUCCCCUGAAGCGUUCCGGCUCCCGGGGAUCUCCUCGGCGGCGGCGGCGGCGAAGGGACGGUCGGGUGAGCCGAGCUCAGUCUGGGAGGGGGCGUGGGGCUGCAUCGGCGGCGAGUGGCCGGCACACGCGGCGCAGGUGCAGGACGGAAAGAGCAGGGGACAAGUCCGGCGUGGAAAAGCCACGUUUGAAACGGAUGGCAACAACUUCUGCAGCCGGCGGGACGUGGCCUGGCGUGAACGGCAACCUCUCGGCCUCGCCCCCUCGCCGCCCCCGCGGCGCCCCCCAGGCUCUAAGGCGCCAGCGCGCGGGAGCGCAGGGCCGGCCGAGGAGGCCCGGGGCCGCGCGAACGGCAGUUUCGCUGGGCCCCACUGGGCCCCGCCCCAGGUCCCAGGCCCCGCCCCCGAGGCCCUCCCUCCUCCUCCCGUGUCGGCCCCGCCCCACUGGUCAGGCUUCAGCUGCGCCAAUGGGAUUUUAUUUUAUUCUUCGAUUUGGCCCGAUCUUAAACCACGUGAGGAAACCUCUGCAUUGUGACCAGGCGGUCACGUGAUUUGUCUCAGCUCGCUAACCGCUCUGGGGAGAUGAGUUUUGCGAAGGAAGAAGGUUAGCUUGUUAAUAUACUACUUCCGCAGCCUGUCUGGUGGCAAAAACCAAUGGAGAGCACUAAUGACAGGCACGGAGCCUGCAGAAAAGCGUUAGGUAAUAAGCCUCCGGGAGUGAACGGAUCCACGCGUGAGAAGCGUUGCCUCACUCGUCAUGACGGAGGGGCUGGAUCUUAACCCGGCGCUUAGACACAUUGCGUUUUCUUACGCCCCGGUUUUCGCUCUUGAAAGUUGCUAGGCAAAGCGUUUUCGGUUAUUCUGUUCUCUGCGAUGAGAAAGCUAAAAGAAGAAGAAGGAAAAAAAAAGAUCUAAAGUGAGGAGUGUCGUGGGAGGUCCUGAAAGUUAAGUUCUGCCUGCAGGUGUCUGAAUGUACGCCUUCGCCUUCAGACGAAUAUAGCUGCAGACCCUGACUCUUCUGGAACACGUUUCUGCGAUGGCCUUUGGUAACCUAGAAAUGCUUUUCCCACGUCUGCUUUCCCCGGAGGAUGGAUUGCUUCAGUUAGGCCCCUGAGGUCUCUCUGGAGGAGCAGAGAGGGCCCCAGAGGAUCUAGUUUUCCUGCUGCCCUGCCUCCACCAGCCAUCGACCCGCAGAGAGGCCUGCUGCUUCACUCUGGAGAGCAGAAGGGGUGCGUAAAAGCAGGGCAGAGAGAAGGCCCUUGGUUCAGAAUCAGAGCUGCCCCUUCAUACCUCCACUUUUAGAAGCUCUUAUCUUCAAGGAUGCCUAUGACACAGUGGCCCUGCCCUCACGUUCUCCUCUGACGCCGGUCCCAACCCGGCUGUGUCUGCCACGCUGCCAUUUUGAUCUCCUCGACCCAGAAAGCCCCUUCUCUUGGCUCGCUGGACGCCAGCCCCGGCGGCUUCGGUCCUGCCCCGCUGGGCUCUCUGAGCACCGAGGCGGUCUUGUACGCUUGGAUUUUCGGCUGAGCCUCCCGAGGCAGCAAUCACGUCCUAGGCACCCUGUGCUUCCCAGGGCCUACCGUUUGUUCACAGAUCCCACUGCUGCUGUGGUCUAGCCCCGCCUCUCAGACUGUUCUCUUUCCUCCUGCUGCUCUCAUUGGCCGUCCUCCCCCAGAGCUUGGGACGUGCUGGCAACCCCCUCCAAUGUGUCCAUGUCACCAGCCCUUCCCCCCCCCCCCCUUCUGCUGGCGGGGUAGUGGGGGGAGGUGCCUAGGGCCUGGGCUGGAUAGUAACUUCUUCAGGGCCACCCCUGACACUUCCCCACUGUAGAAGUUCAACUCAUUUACUCACCCCCACCCCUUUUCCUGACUUGAUUUCCACUGACACAUCAUUAAAGAACUCACUUCUUGUUGAA